rnacentral:rRNA from 1 species
GACGAACGCUGGCGGCGUGCCUAAUACAUGCAAGUAGAACGCUGAAGCGAUAAGCGUACUCUUCUUCGAUGAGUUGCUAACGGGUGAGUAACGCGUAGGUAACCUGCCUUUUAUCGGUGGAGAACUAUUUGGAACGAUAGCUAAUACCGCAUAACAAUGGAUGAGACAUGUCAUUUAUUUUAAUCGGACCAUGGCUCCACUACAAGAUGGACCUGCGUUGUACUAGCUAGUAGGUGAGGUAAUGGCCCACCUAGGCGACGAUACAUAGCCUACCUGAGAGGGUGAUCGGCAACACAGGGACUGAGAGACAGGGCAGACUCCUACGCGAGGCAGCAGUAGGGAAUAUACGGCAAUGGGGGCAAACGUGACCGCGAAACGCAGCGUGAGUGAAGAAGGUUUUCGGAUCGUGAAGAUCUGUUGUGAGUCAAGAGAGGAUGUGAGGGUGGAAAGCUCACUCUGUGGAGGUAGCUUAACAGAAAGGCACCGCUAAAUACGUG